CCUACGGGAGGCAGCAGUGGGGAAUAUUGGGCAAUGGAGGCAACUCUGACCCAGCAACGCCGCGUGAAUGAUGAAGGUCUUCGGAUUGGAAAGUUCUUUUCUAAGGGAAGAAGAAAGUGACGGUACCUUAGGAAUAAGUCUCGGCUAACUACGUGCCAGCAGGCGCGGUAAUACGUAGGGGGCAUGCGUUAUCCGGAAUGACUGGGCGUAAAGGGUGCGUAGGUGGUUUGGCAAGUUAGUAGCGCAACUCCGGAGCUCAACUUCGGAACUACUACUGAAACUGUUGGUCUUGAGUGCAGGAGAGGUAAGCGGAAUUCCUGGUGUAGCGGUGGAAUGCGUAGAUAUUAGGAGGAACCCCAGUGGCGAAGGCGGCUUACUAGACUGUAACUGACACUGAGGCACGAAAGCGUGGGGAGCAAACAGGAUUAGAUACCCGGGUAGUC
rnacentral:rRNA from 1 species